GAGGGUAUAGCUUAGUGGUAGAGUGCGUGCCUAGCAUGCACAGGGUCCUGAGUUCAAUCCCCAGCACCUCCA
rnacentral:tRNA from 1 species